rfam:Triticum aestivum genome assembly, contig: Triticum_aestivum_CS42_TGACv1_scaffold_527909_6DL
CAUGUACUCCCUCCGAUCCAUAUCACUUGUCACUCAAAUGGAUGUAUCUAGACGUAUUUUAGUGCUAGAUACAUCCGUUUGAGCGACAAGUAAUAUGGAUCGGAGGGAGUAGCUU